UUGCUCAUCUGUCUUUUAGAGCCUCUUUGGCUGCCUCUCCGUCAUUCGCUUUCCCUCGCCUCCCUCUCCCCUUCAUCACGCCGCUCUUCUUCUGCCCUCUGUGCCUGUGCAUUCCCCGCCCCCGGAGUGGUGUGUGCCAGGAGGGGGGAGAAAGGGGUCCAAUUUGUGGUGCAGGGAGUGAGGGGGGGGGGGCGAAGGGGGCGGCGUUGGCGGAGUCGCACAUGGAACGUUGCCAAUUCUCGAAGAGGUGUAGCAUGGCAGAAAGAAAA
rnacentral:snoRNA from 1 species